AGUGAACGCUGGCGGUAGGCCUAACACAUGCGAGUCGAACGGCAGCACAGUAAGAGCUUGCUCUUACGGGAGGCGAGUGGCGGACGGGUGAGGAAUACAUCGGAAUCUACUUUUUCGUGGGGGAUAACGUAGGGAAACUUACGCUAAUACCGCAUACGACCUACGGGUGAAAGCAGGGGAUCUUCGGACCUUGCGCGAUUGAAUGAGCCGAUGUCGGAUUAGCUAGUUGGCGGGGUAAAGGCCCACCAAGGCGACGAUCCGUAGCUGGUCUGAGAGGAUGAUCAGCCACACUGGAACUGAGACACGGUCCAGACUCCUACGGGAGGCAGCAGUGGGGAAUAUUGGACAAUGGGCGCAAGCCUGAUCCAGCCAUACCGCGUGGGUGAAGAAGGCCUUCGGGUUGUAAAGCCCUUUUGUUGGGAAAGAAAAGCAGCAGGUUAAUACCCCGCUGUUCUGACGGUACCCAAAGAAUAAGCACCGGCUAACUUCGU
rnacentral:rRNA from 1 species